GUGUUCUGACGUCUAUCCAUUCCACAAGCACCUGCAUUAAAAUAGUAUAAAGAGAAAAAUGGGGUGAGUGACAUUUACUUAAACUGCAUUUGUUUUGUUUUUGUUUUCUUGUUUUUUUCCUCCUUUACCAUAAAAUUAGUUCCAGAGGGUUAUUGUGGGUCUAAUCUACUCUGAGUCGCUUUGAGCACGCAGCAAUGCCUACAGCGCUCAGGAGUGUUAGUGGUGAGCUACAGCCCCCCUGGCACACGCAGCCCUCCUCUUGAACCUUAACUCUGAGGGGGGUGUCUUCCGUGAGGUGGUCACAGGCUGUUCUGAUGUCACCUGCGGUCACUCUAGCUGAAGUUCCAAGCUCCAGAAGUACACAUUAAGGAAUGAAUCAGAGCCAGUGCUUAGCCUGGGGAAGGGGUGUCUGACGUUCCAAAUUCCAGUUCUGUUGGAUCUUGGAAUGGGGUUGAAGACUCUUUCUUACCUCUCAGCUCUGGUCUUGCCUCCUCUCCUGGACCUGUAGCUCGAGUGAGGGGAGCCAGGGAGGGAGGGGGACCGGUGGCUGAGAUUCCCAAUUAGUCAUCUUCCAGAAUGUAGUCACUCCCACCCAUAAUCUGCACUCUUAGUUACCCAUUUGGGGGAGUGGACCAUUUGUACAUAAUUGAGAGUUGUCUUUGACAAGUAUUACUAGUGUUUGUUUUUAAUCUGAAGGAUUUUUCUGCCUCUUGGCUGUCAGUUUAUUCAGCUCCUACAGUGCAUGGUCCUAAAGCCGUAGCCAGAGGCGGGACGUAAAACUUCGGGGACCAAGCUCGGGUUCUUUGCUGCUGGUGAUACCAGGAAAGAAGCUGUCUGGCAUUUUUAGGUUGAGACUGUAAUGACUCUGGCACAGAGUCCAUUUUUUCCAGCUUUUAACUGAGGACACACUACCAGGCAAGGAGUGCAGCAAGUAAUUACUAAAAUACAAUGUGACUCCACUCGACUCUCCCCCGCUGCUGUUUAGAUACAUCCCCAUUCCACACCUCCUCCACUGAGUUCCUAGGUUGAAUUUGUAGGAGUCUAUUCUUAUCUGCCUGCCUUCCCCACAUUACUGAGUGACAAGGCAGAACCAGUCCAAGUUUUCCUCUAGUUGGCUAUCCUUCUAGAAGGCCUGUAGGUACCUGUGCCCUUCAGAAACAUGACUAGCAACCUGUAUCCUUGGCAUCAGCUGAGCUCUUUAUACUAAACAAAGGCUUCCUUCACCCUCCCUGAGGGAGGGAAGCUAGGCUGUUAAUGUUUCCUUUUUUUUAGAACAGGAAACUGAGGCCCAAAGAGGGGCCGUGACUUGUCCGACACCACAUGAACGAGAAGCUAGAUGCCCCUAAGUAUUGUCGUCCAUUGGCCACCAGCCUGCCUUAGGGUGUAUAGGAGACACGGGGAGCCAGGUCACGGCCUUUCUCUUUCUGUCGCCGUCGGCGCCAAGCAAACAGGCCCAGCAGCACCACAAUGAGGAACAACAGGAGGAUGAUGCCCGUGACAGCACCCACCGAGUGCCGUUCUGCACCCAGCGCCGGGCUGAUCUUGGUGUAGGGGUUCAGCUCCUCCAUCAUGAGCGCGGCUGCGGACGGAGAGAGGACCUGAGUCUGGGGCAGGCCUGUUUGCUCUGCAGAUCCUGGUCCAGCACCUAGAGCCGUCUAACUUUAGGAGACCUGGGUUCUGGUCUUUGGCUCUAUUCUUCAAUCCCUGUGUGAUCCUGUCCCUCACUGUGCCUGUUUCUUCGACAGCUGCCUACAGGAGAUGGAGUUCCAGGGUCGUGACAACAUAUGUGAUCAUGGAUGGCAAAUAAAAUAACAACGAAU